AAGGGCAAUUAAAAACUAUUGACGAUAAAGAUUCAUUUUUUUUAAAGAAGAUAUACAAUAAAUUAAAAGAGAAUAUCCUCAACAGAGAAGCAUGUCACGUCGUUUAAUUAAAUCGACCAAUAAAAAUGUUCCUUUGUGCCAGGUCAGCUCUUCUAAAGCUGCAAUUUGCAACUCGAAAAUGACCUAAAGUGAGAUUCUACGGUUGGGUUCGCUUGCUAAGCCCACUAAACAGAAACCCCUAACAUCCUAUAGCCGUCCAACGAAUCUCUCCAUCCUCUUCGUCUUCUCCGUUUUCUCUACUUGCGAUCUCCAUUACUGAGCCUUCUCUGCCAUCAAUCAAUUGUUCUCUUUAAUACACACUUCAUGUCUUUCGUUUCACCUCCCUCUCUAUCUCCUUAUUUUAUAAACUACUUCGUCUUCCAGUCAAAACCGAAGAGCUCCUCUUUUUUUUUUUGUGAUCAACUUUCCAGGGUACGACCGAAGAACUCCUCUCAAUAAGCUGAAUCCAUGGCGGUGAACCCAACAGGAAAACAUGUCUCCAUCUCACCAGGGCUAUACGGUUCCGAGCUACGCCUCCGACUGUUACAUUUCUUGAAGUGAGGAACAAAAUACGAGAACUAAAGGUUGCAAACAGAAAGGAAAUUCGAAGCAAACAUCAAAUAAUUAGCAAGAAGAGAGGAACAAAUGUAUCGACAGCACUGGCGGUGAGUAUUCAUGGAGGGAUUAGUCGUACCAGAGAGAUGUGGAACGAUAUACUAAAAAUAGGUCCAAGUCCAACCAAAAAUCAAGGUGGUCUUCUUCGUCUUGAAGUUCAGACACUAAGCCAACAGAGUAAAGAAAGGACUGAAGCAAGGUACCAGAAGAGCAAGGAUUGCAAAAAAAAAAAGUUAACGCCUUGCUUCAGUGGUCUUCUUCGUCUUGAAGUUCAGACACUAAGCCAACAGAGUAAAUAAAGGACUUAAGCAAGGCUUUCCUCCCAACAAUUGACUGUCGUAUACAAGCUGUAAUCUCACAUUAUUUAUUUUCCUUCGUCAAGCAAUCUCGCAUUGUUUAUGACAAAAAAAUUGUGAAGAUUUUUUGGCAUCACUGUUGAAGACAAGGAGGGAAUAAAGCAAUUGCAUGGCAUAACUCAUGGGGUCUCAAUACCAGAUUGAUUAGAGUUAUGUUUAUGAAUCAUGGAGAUGACAAAGACUUAGCAUUUCCUCCAAAAGUUGCAAAUCAAGUAGUUGAUCCCAAGGUAAAGCUGUGUGGAAUCAAACGAAAGGGUCAAUAAGCUGCGAUAUUUAUAUUAACAGUCGUUGGCUUGGAUUACAGGUAUAUCCAGUGAUGUGUUGUUAAGCUUCCAAAACAUUACAAAACUCUUAUAUUUAGGAUGUAAUCCGACGUUUGUAAUUCAAGAAUAUUGAUAUCACUUUGUAUGUCGAAACUGAUAAAGACCAUGUGCUAAAUCCGCUGCUUUCUGUUCAUUUGCAUUUUUAGUUCAUCCCAAUGCCUUUGAUUAUUGCGUAUUUUGGAUCAAUAUAUAGAAAUUCAUAUUCGAUAUCUAAUUCACAUUUUAAGUUCCAUUUUGGUCAAUGUGCUUUCUGAGUUUCUUAUAAUUGUAAAACAAAUCAUCGAGCUUUGAUUUAAGGAGACUAUUGAGUUUAUAUACCAUUUGUGUUAGUUAUUUUUGUGUAUAAUGAGUUUUUAAUAUAUCAUCUCUUCUGUUACUUGAAACUUAAAGGUGGUCUUCUUCGUCUUGAAGUUCAGACACUAAGCCAACAGAGUAAAGAAAGGACUGAAGCAAGGUACCAGAAGAGCAAGGAUUGCAAAAAAAAAAAGUUAACACCUUGCUUCAGUGGUCUUCCUCGUCUUGAAGUUCAGGCACUAAGCCAACAGAGUAAAUAAAGGACUGAAGCAAGGUACCAGAAGAGCAAGGAUUGCCAAAAAAAAAGUCAACGUCUUGCUUCAGCUUUCCUCCCAACAAUUGGCUGUCGUAUACAAGCUGUAAUCUCACAUUAUUUAUUUUUCUUCGUCAAGCAAUCUCGCAUUGUUUAUGACAAAAAAAUUGUGAAGAUUUUUUGGCAUCACCGUUGAAGACAAGGAGGGCAUAAAGCAAUUGCAUGGCAUAACUCAUGGGGUCUCAAUACCAGAUUGAUUAGAGUUACGUUUAUGAAUCAUGGAGAUGACAAAAACUUAGCAUUUCCUCCAAAAGUUGCAAAUCAAGUAGUUGAUCCCAAGGUAAAGCUGUGUGGAAUCAAACGAAAGGGUCAAUAAACUGCGAUAUUUAUACUAACAGUCGUUGGCUUGGAUUACAGGUGGUCUUCUUCGUCUUGAAGUUCAGAGACUAAGCCAACAGAGUAAAGAAAGGACUGAAGCAAGGUACCAGAAGAGCAAGGAUUGCAAAAAAAAAAAGUUAACGCCUUGCUUCAGCACUAAGCCAACAGAGUAAAUAAAGGACUGAAGCAAGGUACUAGAAGAGCAAGGAUUGCAAAAAAAAAAGUCAACGUCUUGCUUCAGCUUUCCUCCCAACAAUUGGCUGUCGUAUACAAGUUGUAAUCUCACAUUAUUUCUUUUUCUUCGUCAAGCAAUCUCGCAUUGUUUAUGACAAAAAAAUUGUGAAGAUUUUUUGGCAUCACCGUUGAAGACAAGGAGGGCAUAAAGCAAUUGCAUGGCAUAACUCAUGGGGUCUCAAUACCAGAUUGGUAAUUGUUUAAUCUUAGUGUGAUUUAUUUUGCUUUGACGUUUUUGGUAAUGUUAUUUUCUCUAAUAUCAAAAUUGGGUUCAUGUAACAUAGAUUAGAGUUAUGUUUAUGAAUCAUGGAGAUGACAAAGACUUAGCAUUUCCUCCAAAAGUUGCAAAUCAAGUAGUUGAUCCCAAUUUCCUUUAAAGAUAUUGUCUCGGAAGCAUUUUUGAUGUGUGUGAAACUAUUGAAUCCACCUUGCUUGGGACUUGAAACCAUGCUAAAAUAGGGUUUUACGACAACUUUUAUUGCCAUUGGAAGUAUUCAGAUCGGGGAACUAGAAGGUGUUCCAAUGGGAGUUGAAAAUGGUCCAAGAGAUUUGGCUAAAAAUUAGGCCAGCCGUAUCUCAUAGUAUGUGUGUAGGCUAACAGUUUCUUAGAUUCUUGGGAACAGCUGAGAUGGAUUUCAUGAGAGAAGACUUCACUACAAAAUCAAGGACUUUCUGGAAAAAGAGAAAGAUCGAAGAAACCACUCAAAGGUAAAACUAGGUGGAUUUUGUCGAAGCUUUGAGCUAAAGAGAAAUUAUUUUUUUCUGACUUGAGCCAAAAAAUCACAUUGGAAGAGCUUCUUGACGAGGAAGAAAUUAUUCAAGAAUGCUAAGGAAGAGCCGACUCAUACAUUUAUAUUUGUUCUGAUUUUUUUUUCGAUACAUCAUUCACAUUUCUUAGAAAAAGUUUCUGACUA